rnacentral:lncRNA from 1 species
UGGAAAUAGGUCCUGGUGAAUCAAAGGACUUUUGUAAAUGCUAAGAAUGUUUGUAAAAAACCUUGCCUCUGAUUCAGGAUGGUUUUACCACGUUCUUUGAAGGUGUUGUGUUGACCAUCUGACUUGUGUCAGCACUGUGUACACAGGUUGAGGAAUAUUCUGGAAUAGACUGCAUUCAUAAGAAGAACACUUAGUAUUUAUUAAAUCAGUGCAUAAUUCAAAAUAAAGGCAGAGUAAAUAGCGUAAGAAUUCACUUCCUUUGUACAGCCUGCUGGCACAAGUAGGAGGGCGGAAAGGGUUGACCAUGUUGAUUAAGAGUAAAGAGAAAAUUUAUAUAUAAAAACUGACUUCGAGUGUAUAAAAAUAUUUUAAGCCAUUAUGACAGCUGCUUGAAGAUUUCAAGUACUAGUAUAUACACAUAGAGAUGUUUUAUGCGAUUAUGCAUUUGUGUAUUUCACCAAGGCUGAUACAAACAGGGGUAAAGGAUUAUGUUAACUAUGGGAGUUGUUUAUAAUCUCUUGGCAGGUGAUUAGCCAGGUCUAAUCAGCUAUUUGAACAAAAGUCUCCCGUCUCCACUAGAUGUACCACAACCUGAGAGCUGAAAGAAACUUGAAAGAUUUUAUCAAGGCUCACCUUCUAUUACUAUAGGUAACUUGUGAAUAUCAUAAAUUCUUGUGAAGUUUAUAGUCUAUUUCAGCUCAAGAAUUAUACUCAGGCAGUAUUUUUACUUAAUUUAGAAAACAAGUAGGCUUUAAAAAGCAAUCUAAUUAGGGCUCCACUCUGUCUGCUUGUCAUGCUUCCCUGACUAAACAAUAGCUUUUGUCAAGUAUUUGGGCUGAUGGACAUGCAGUGUGAAAACAUUUGAAAAAGCAAAUUAGAAGACUGAUUUUUUAAAAGCACUUGAAACAUAGAACGAAGAUUUCGAAUGUAUGUCCACUUAAAUAAUUUAUGUUCAUAAUGUGAACAUGUAGAA